rnacentral:rRNA from 1 species
CUCGUAGGCGGUUCGUCGCGUCCGGUGUGAAAGUCCAUCGCUUAACGGUGGAUCCGCGCCGGGUACGGGCGGGCUUGAGUGCGGUAGGGGAGACUGGAAUUCCCGGUGUAACGGUGGAAUGUGUAGAUAUCGGGAAGAACACCAAUGGCGAAGGCAGGUCUCUGGGCCGUUACUGCGCUGAGGAGCGAAAGCGUGGGGAGCGAACA